CUACGGGCUGCACCAGUGGGGAAUAUUGCACAAUGGACGAAAGUCUGAUGCAGCAACGCCGCGUGGAGGAUGACACAUUUCGGUGCGUAAACUCCUUUUAUAUAGGAAGAUAAUGACGGUACUAUAUGAAUAAGCGCCGGCUAACUCCGUGCCCGCAGCCGCGGUAAUACGGAGGGCGCAAGCGUUACUCGGAAUCACUGGGCGUAAAGAGCGUGUAGGCGGAUAGAUAAGUCAGGAGUGAAAUCCUAUGGCUCGACCAUAGAACUGCUCUUGAAACUGUCUAUCUAGAAUAUGGGAGAGGUAGAUGGAAUUUCUGGUGUAGGGGUAAAAUCCGUAGAGAUCAGAAGGAAUACCGAUUGCGAAGGCGAUCUACUGGAACAUUAUUGACGCUGAGACGCGAAAGCGUGGGGAGCAAACAGGAUUAGAUACCCCCGUAGUC
rnacentral:rRNA from 1 species